rnacentral:rRNA from 4 species
AACGACUCUCGGCAACGGAUAUCUCGGCUCUCGCAUCGAUGAAGAACGUAGCGAAAUGCGAUACUUGGUGUGAAUUGCAGAAUCCCGUGAACCAUCGAGUCUUUGAACGCAAGUUGCGCCCCAAGCCUUUUGGCCGAGGGCACGUCUGCCUGGGUGUCAC